AUUUUUCUUGGUUUAUGUUUACUUAAGUGGGCGUGUUUCUUGAUUAUUUUUACUGUUUCAAGGCAGACAAAUCUUAAGCUGCAAUUGUAAACAUCCUAGUUGAAUUUUAGCUAACUGUGUAAAGAGCUGUUUAAUAAAAAAAUGGAGUUGUAUUCAGGUUAUAGGCAGCACUCACCACUGAAAUAAGAUGCUGUAUCAAGAAUGAUUUGAUUAAAGAAGUAGUUGUAACAACGAUUUAUAAGUUUUUAAUUUUUUUUUUUUAAAACCGUGAAGAUUAACGAUACAUGAUUACAGAAUUGUUUAGAAAGUUGCUCAAUAAAGUUGUAAUUGUAAUGUGGUUUUUGUUCGAAAUAAAUAAGCAUAUAGAAUUA